rnacentral:misc_RNA from 1 species
UCUCCGUAGGUGAACCUGCGGAGGGAUCAUUACAGAGUUCGCGCCCUCACGGGUAGAUCUCCCACCCUGUGUUAUUAUACCUUUGUUGCUUUGGCGGGCCGCCCUCGGCUACCGGCCCCGGCUGGUACGCGCCCGCCAGAGGACCCCAAACUCUGAAUGUUAGUGUCGUCUGAGUACUAUACAAUAGUUAAAGCUUUCAACAACGGAUCUCUUGGUUCUGGCAUCGAUGAAGAACAGC